CUACAAGGAAGGUGGUCAAACUGAAGGCAGUGUCGGAGGAGGGAAGAGGAGAAGAGAGUCUUAAGGUCUGGAGAACUUUUGUGACCCUAAUUCAGGCCAACAAUCCUUCUCAAGAGGGUCUGGUGUGAGAACUUCAAGAUGUGGAAGAUUCUGGGAGUUCUAGUCUUCUGUGGCCUGCAGAGCCCCGCUUUAGGUUCAUUUCCAGGGAUUAGGGCUGUUAUAAAUCAGGCCAAACUGUCUGAAGUCCUUAUAGAUACUUGGACCCAAGAUGGCCUUCUAGCGAGUCACUUGAAAAGCCUUGGGCUUUCUGACAUCCGUCUUGGACGACUCCUCAGUUUAGUUGACAAUAUAGUUGGGCUCAAAAUUGACGAAUUUAUCCUCACUAGUUAUAGACUGGUCCUUCUUAAUGAGAAAGCAGAAACAAAUUUGUCUAUUCAUCUGGGCACCAGCGGCAACACGUGAGUAGCAUGAACCUGCUUUCUUGUUGUAAAAUAAACAGAUUUUGCCACUGAAAGAGGAAAUAAGUCCUGAC
rnacentral:lncRNA from 11 species